UACGGAGGGUGCAAGCAUUAAUCGGAUUUGCUGGGCGUAAAGGGCGCGUAGGCGGAUUGGAAAGUCAGAUGUGAAAUUUCGGUGCUCAACACCGAAGCUGCAUUUGAAACUGUUAAUCUUGAGGAUGGACGGAGAAAACGGAAUUCCACGUGUAGCGGUGAAAUGCGUAGAUAUGUGGAAGAACACCUGUGGCGAAAGCGGUUUUCUAGUUUAUUCCUGACGCUGAGGCGCGAGAGCAAGGGUAGCAAACAGG
rnacentral:misc_RNA from 1 species